CACACACCUGUGCUGCUUUAGGAGUUGAUUUAUAGAGCGCACCCAGGAUCUCUCUGUAGGCAUUGUGGUCCAGUGUGGCUAGAGAGCAGGUAUUUUAAGUCACCUAUUUUCCAGACCUCAUCAGCUGAAUAGCCUGUCGUGCUAAAGGUCCACCACAGAGAAGGCAGUGGUUAACACUGAGUGGGCCUAAACAUCCGAUCCAUAAACGAGGUGGAGUCAGAGCUGGGUUGACUAUUUACUGCAUUGUGUGAGGGUUGUUCAGGCACGCAAAACAGAAGUGGCUAAACAACUGCUGCUACUUGUGUUUGAAUUGUUAUGUCUAUUUUAUGAGAAUUGUUACAGGUGGAUGGGCCCCUGUGAAUGUGGUUGCCAACUGCCGGCAUCUGCUAGGGGUGUGGCGGCUGUCCCUGUUUUUGGCUGUGCGAUUUUCCUCAGCUUCUUAGCCACUUUUUUUUGUUUUCCCUUUUCUAGAGUUCUGACGGACAGACAGGGUGGUGGAUUGUGGGAACUCCUUUCCCCUUCAAUGCAUGUGGUGGUGGGUAUGACAGCUGUGCGUGCAUGCUUUACUUAGUUUUAUUGUGACGUUUGUGUGUAUCUUGCUGUGUCUAGGUGGCUGCGCGCCGGUGCGAGUGGUGGUGUCAAAGCACCUGGGUGGCCCACAGGUCUGGUCCCUGUAGGUGCUGAGGUGUCUUUAACAGUGUGCUUUUAUCCCUUAGCAUCUCUGGCAGUAUUGGCAUCCACAUCUUAUUUGUUUUUAUUGUUGUGCUUGUGCAGCAAAUAAAAUUGCCCAAAGCCAGAUCUUUUUAACUGCUUAAAUAAAUCUUCCUUCCAGUCCAAA